rnacentral:rRNA from 1 species
CGGCCAGAGACCGAUAGCGCACAAGUAGAGUGAUCGAAAGAUGAAAAGCACUUUGAAAAGAGGGUUAAACAGUACGUGAAAUUGUUGAAAGGGAAGCGCUCGUGACCAGACUCGGGCGCGGCGAAUCACCCGGCGUUCUCGCCGGUGCACUUCGACGCGCCCGGGCCAGCAUCAGCUCGCCGCGGGGGACAAAGGCGCCGGGAACGUGGCUCCCCAGGGAGUGUUAUAGCCCGGCGCGCAACGCCCCGCGGCGGACUGAGGUUCGCGCGUCCGCAAGGAUGCUGGCGUAAUGGUCACCAGUGACCCGUCUUGAAACACGGACCAAGGAGUCGUCCUCGUAUGCGAGUGUUCGGGUGUCAAACCCCUACGCGCAAUGAAAGUGAACGCGGGUGAGAGCCUCGCGGCGCAUCAUCGACCGAUCCUGAUGUCCUCGGAUGGAUUUGAGUAGGAGCAUACGGGGCCGGACCCGAAAGAAGGUGAACUAUGCCUGUGUAGGGUGAAGCCAGAGGAAACUCUGGUGGAGGCUCGCAGCGGUUCUGACGUGCAAAUCGAUCGUCAAACAUGGGCAUGGGGGCGAAAGACUAAUCGAACCUUCUAGUAGCUGGUUUC